rnacentral:rRNA from 1 species
GACGAACGCUGGCGGCGUGCUUAACACAUGCAAGUCGAACGGAAAGGCCCUGCUUUUGCUGGUUGCUCGUGUGGCGCACGGGUGAGUAUCACGUGUGUAACCUGUCCCUGACUUUGGGAUAUCACUAGGAAACUGGGGCUAUUACCGGAUAUGAUCUUCUGCUGCAUGGUGGUGGUUGGUAAGUUUCGGCGGUUGGGGAUGGACUCGCGGCUUAUCCGCUUGUUUGUGAGGUAGUGGCUUACCAAGGUUUUGACGGCUAGUCGGCCUGAGAGGGUGACCGGCGACAUGAGGACUGCGAGAGGGAGCAGAAUCCUACGGGAAGCAGCGGGGGGGAAUAUUACACAAUGGGCGGAAGCGUGAGGCAGCAGCGCCGCGUGCGGGAUAACGGGCUUCGGGUGAUAAACCGCUGUGGCCUGUGACGAAGCGUGAGUGACGGUAAUGGGUAAAAAAGCAACGGCUAACUACGUG